rnacentral:rRNA from 1 species
GACGGAGGAUGCAAGUGUUAUCCGGAAUCACUGGGCGUAAAGCGUCUGUAGGUGGCUCGAUAAGUCAACUGUUAAAUCUUGAAGCUCAACUUCAAAAUCGCAGUCGAAACUAUCGGACUAGAGUAUAGUAGAGGUAAAGGGAAUUUCCAGUGGAGCGGUGAAAUGCGUAGAUAUUGGAAAGAACACCGAUGGCGAAGGCACUUUACUGGGCUAUUACUGACACUCAGAGACGAAAGCUAGGGUAGCAAAUGGG